GAGUUACGGAGCUGAGCUAGCUCAGCUAAAGGAAAGAUUAUCUAUCUGUGAAGAGGGAGUGAAAAGGCCGUGUGCGGCCCCAGAGGUAGGAGAUCUUUGCCGCUGGAGGAGUGAGUGGAGAGGGCUCUGCAGAGGAAAUGUCCAGGAGGUGGGAAGGCCUUCCUUACACCCCUAGAUCGGGCGGGGUGGCCAGCUGGGCCCCACACCUGGAACUUGUGGUUCGUGGCUUCCCUGGGCUGGUCCCAGGAACUUGGGUCUCAGAGCCGGGGCUGGAGGCCUCCUGGAGAUUGCAGCACUGCCCUCACCCCCGACAUCCUCCGCCUCCCCGACCCAAGAGUCUCAAACUUCCUUCUUCAUGGCAUUCCUCCUCCCCCUAUUUUCCCCAGAAGAAGCUGGCUGGAAGCGCUAGCACAGCGCAUGGAUGGAUGGGUGGAUGGUUGGAUGGAUGGCCCGGCUGACCUCAGGCGGUGGCCCCGGAAGGAUCCUAACCAACUGUCCAGGCCGCUCAUCACCACUCCUGAGUCCAUCUGUGUUCCAACCUCUGGCUGCUUCUCUUCCCACGCAAAGUAGGUGACCGCCUGUAGCUCUGCUGAUUGCGAGGCCGCCUGGCGCGGGGGGGUGGUGCAGCUGUCAUCUAUUUCUGGCUUGCAUUCACAUGUUGAGCUGACCCAUUCGUAAACUCCAUUCAGGCAUUUCCUUCUCCACGUGGGCAUGGGCCUGGGCA
rnacentral:lncRNA from 1 species